CAGCAGCAGAAACGAUGUCAGCCAUAUAUUACAGCUAAUAAUAGUAAUUAUUAUUAUGAUAGUAAUGCUGAUGAUAAUAAUAAUAAUAAUAACAAUAAUGAUAGGAAUAUAAUAAUAAUAAUAAUGAUGACAAUAAUAAUAAUAAUAAUAAUAGCAGCGGUAAUAGUAACAACGACGGCGAUGGUGAUGAUCAUAUAUUAUAUAUGUUGCAAUAUAGUAAUACAAUAGAAAUAA